GACGAACGCUGGCGGCGUGCCUAAUACAUGCAAGUCGAACGCAGUGGGGACGGGUGAGUAACACGUGGGUAACCUCCCAUCAGAGGGGAUAACACUUGGAAACUGGUGCUAAACCGAUAUUGAUGUAUGGACCUGGGGUGGAUUAGCUGGAUGGUGUGGUAACGGCUCACCAAGGCCAAGAUGCAUAGCGGACCUGAGAGGGUGAGCGGCCACACUGGGACUGAGACACGGCCCAGACUCCUACGGGAGGCAGCAGUGGGGAAUCUUCGGCAAUGGACGAAAGUCUGACCGAGCAACGCCGCGUGAGUGAAGAAGGUUUUCGGGUCGUAAUGCUCUGUUGUUAGGGAAGCGGUAUCUAACCAGAAAGCCACGGCUAACUACGUGCCAGCAGCCGCGGUAAUUC
rnacentral:rRNA from 1 species